UGAGAUGAAUGACUUCUGGGGAAC
rnacentral:siRNA from 1 species